UACGUAGGGGGCAAGCGUUGUCCGGAUUUACUGGGCGUAAAGAGCGUGUAGGCGGCCGUACAGGUCAGCUGUGAAAACUCGAGGCUCAACCUCGAGACGUCGGUUGAAACCGUACGGCUAGAGUCCGGAAGAGGAGAGUGGAAUUCCCGGUGUAGCGGUGAAAUGCGCAGAUAUCGGGAAGAACACCCGUGGCGAAGGCGGCUCUCUGGGACGGUACUGACGCUGAGACGCGAAAGCGUGGGGAGCGAACAGG
rnacentral:rRNA from 1 species